GACCGGUUUAAAAGAAACGGCGUCGUUUUUGCCAAAUUUGCUUACUUUCACUCUUGGUUCUGAAGCUCCUUCGUUUCUUUCUCCCUUUCUCCCUCCCUUUCUUUCAUUCACUCACAGAAACUCAGCCAAAAAACCCUAGCACUGUAAGCCUCCACCACCGCCGCCGCAAGGAGUGGCAUACUGCCGCCGUCCGUCCGUAUCUAGCUUCCCUCGUGCUCCAAGUCUUCAACCCCCGUUCGCUGUCACCGAUCGCAGCUGCUUCCUCGAGCUCGGCGUCCGUCGUCUUUGUCUGCUCAGCCGCGCUUCCGCCGCCGUUGGUUGCCGUUAACGUUCGCGUCUUCGUUCAGCCGUCGUCUUCGUUCGCGUUCUUCGCCGUUCAAAUUUGCUCGGGGUUCACCGUUCGCGUUCACUCGCCGUUCACCGUUCGGGUUCGCGUUCGUCUGGAAGCCACGUUGCCCUGCUUCAAACUCUGGGACCAACCCGCGCGCUCCACCUAGCCGUCGAACUGCUCUCUUUUGUCGCCGCCCCGCUGAAGCAUUCUUCUUCAAGAACAGCCACCGCGUCGCCGCUGGCCUCGCCACCGCUAGAAAAAUCAAAGAACGAAGAUGCCGCCUCUCCUGGGUUGCUGUCGACCUCAACCAUCAACUCCUCGUCCGAACUGCUCUGACCCAAGUAGAUCUAUCAAAGGUGGAUAGGAAAAGGACACCUUGGCUGGUUGUGUUGUUUCAUGUACCAUGGUAUAAUAGUAACAAGGUUCAUCAAUGAUUAACUCAACUCAUGCUUACUGGAGUUGGCACAGGAAUGAUGAUGACGAGUCAGUAAAAACUGAUAAUUUUUGGAUAACCUCUUUGGUUAGCUCGAGAUGUGUUGAUGACAAGAGCCAUGAACUCCGGAGUAUGCUUAUGACACCGUAAAAGCCUCAGAUCCGCCGGUGCCAUCCCUUAACUUGGUGGAUUAGCAAGAGUAUAUAUGACACUGCUAGCAGCUUGAAAGGACUAUAUAGAAUAUAGAUUGAUGAUACUGAAGCAUUUAGCAUAUUGAAACUGGUUCUGAUUGUAUAGUUGUAUAUUUGAAUGCUCAAAAGACAGAGAAAUAUAAUUAAAUCAUCAACUUUUAGUGUAGUGAUGAUGUUCUCUUGGAUGGUGUUACUUGUAUUGUGAGAACUUGUUAUCUUGAUUUGUGUACAUAAGAAGUUUAAGAACUGCUUAUAUAACCGAUGCAAACGUGAGUCUUUGUAUUGAUUUA